UCCCUGGUGGUCCAGUAGCUAAGACACUGCACUCCCAGUGCAGGGGACCCAGGUUCGAUCCCUGGUCAGGGAA